rnacentral:rRNA from 1 species
UACAGAGGGGGCAAGCGUUGUUCGGAAUUACUGGGCGUAAAGGGUGCGUAGGCGGUCGUGCAAGUCGGAUGUGAAAUCCCAGGGCUCAACCCUGAAACUGCAUUCGAUACUGCGCGGCUAGAGUGCUGGAGGGGAGACUGGAAUUUACGGUGUAGCAGUGAAAUGCGUAGAUAUCGUAAGGAAGACCAGUGGCGAAGGCGAGUCUCUGGACAGCAACUGACGCUGAGGCACGAAGGCCAGGGGAGCAAACGGG